rnacentral:lncRNA from 11 species
GUUGAACUUCAUUUUGUUAGUUUUGGCCCAUCUCUCUAGUCUGUCAAGAUCGUUUUGAAUUUGAGUUAUUCAAUUUAUUCUGCAGCCAGAUAGAAGAGGAGGCAUUUAUAGGCACGCAUAUCUCAGGUCCAAUUAACUAAUACAGAUCAAAUAAAGUGGUCUUAAUUCA